CUUCUUCGAGUGACCGGAAGAUAACAUGAUCAUGAAAGUGGUUUUUCCUGGGUGAGGCUCAACCAUUGCACUGUGGGUGUGCUGUCCCCUGUGAUUUCCCCAAAUGCGGGGAAUCUUGAUUGCAUAAUUUGUGAUAGUGGGUGACUGCGUUCCUGUUUUCUCCUG
ensembl:snRNA U1 U1 spliceosomal RNA